UCCCUGGUGGCCCAGUGGUUAGGACUUGGCCCUUUCACUGCCGGGGUCCCAGGUUCAAUUCCUGGUCGGGGAA